rnacentral:rRNA from 1 species
GACGGAGGGUGCAAGCGUUGUUCGGAUUGACUGGGCGUAAAGGGCGUGUAGGCGGUUGGUCAAGUCUGAUGUGAAAGCCCGGAGCUCAGCCCCGGAAGGGCAUCGGAAACUAACCAGCUGGAGCGCGAUAGAGGAGGGCGGAAUUCCUGGUGUAGCGGUGAAAUGCGUAGAUAUCAGGAGGAACACCGGCGGCGAAGGCGGCCCUCUGGACGGCAACUGACGCUGAGGCACGAAAGCGUGGGGAGCAAACAGG